GUGGGGAAUUUUGGACAAUGGGCGCAAGCCUGAUCCAGCAAUGCCGCGUGCAGGAAGAAGGCCUUCGGGUUGUAAACUGCUUUUGUACGGAACGAAACGGUCCGGGUUAAUACCCUGGGCUAAUGACGGUACCGUAAGAAUAAGCACCGGCUAACUACGUGCCAGCAGCCGCGGUAAUACGUAGGGUGCAAGCGUUAAUCGGAAUUACUGGGCGUAAAGCGUGCGCAGGCGGUUUUGUAAGACAGGCGUGAAAUCCCCGGGCUCAACCUGGGAAUUGCGCUUGUGACUGCAAGGCUGGAGUGCGGCAGAGGGGGAUGGAAUUCCGCGUGUAGCAUUGAAAUGCGUAGAUAUGCGGAGGAACACCGAUGGCGAAGGCAAUCCCCUGUGCCUGCACUGACGCUCAUGCACGAAAGCGUGGGGAGCAAACAGGAUUAGAAACCCUAGUAGUCC
rnacentral:rRNA from 1 species